UGGGCUGUGUGCUGCACGAGUUUUGCGAUUUCAAGUGAUCACACCCACCAAACGGGAGCAAACGCACCUCAAACCGUCACGAACGCACCCCAGUUCUUUUGUUUGUAGCUUUGCUUUGAUCGUGGUGGCGACAAUACCUAGCUAGCUACUGCAAGAUCAAGAUAGCGUGCAGUGCUCACCUUUUGUUUACAGCACGGGCAUGGGUAGAGCACACGAAGGUAGCUUUCUAUCUGCGACUUGCAUUAUCUAAAAAAAAUAUUCAAUACAAGUUGUUACGGGUUUUUCUCAACGAGCGAUUAACAGUUGCUGUUGAKGAGAUAUUCGGGGCAGUUGAAUAAAACGCAAACUUAGUACCAGGAAGAACUUUCCCCUUCAAAKGAGGAAAACGACUSUCUGCAAAGGCUGCUUGAAAUCGCUGUUAUUAAACCUGAGAUCAGGCUACACAUAGCAGUCUACCAUAGGCGACUCAUGACGUUUACAUUGUCAUUUCAUCCAGACCUCCAGCAGCUCACUCUCCAUGGUGAUCAGGAGGUUCCCCCUGAUCAGUAGCACUGUGUGCAGGAGUGGAGCCCUAGUCUGGGACAGGAGGACCAAGAGCCUACACAUAUUACAGAGGAACAUGGGGAGCUCAGGAACAGUCAGUGGGAAGAGUAGCUUCCAAAGCUGGAAGAUGAUACCAAAUACUCCAUAUUCACUCCUGCCUGUGUGAAAAGUGACUGUGAUGAGAACCUAAUUCUGCACUCAUAUCUUUAUCAUGGUCAACAUGAAGUUAAUGAAGAAAGGGUCUCUCUCCCCAGCUCCUCAACUAAACAGAUCAAYACAGAACCUUAUGAAGAGGACUACAUUGUAUCAGAACUAACCAGUGACUGUCAUUCUCUCGCUGCAGUAAUCCAGACUGUUCUGCAGUUCAGUGUGAAAACAGUGUCAAUAGGGUGGAAAGUUAAGUCCCUCAUUCAGGUUUUAAGCCCGGCAAAUCAAAUAUAACAUGGACAGUAAAAAGACAAAACUCCUGUGUCAUUAMUAAGGGUAGGAAUUCUACAGUCAUCAAAUCUGAAAUCACCCAGUCAACGUCAUAAUGCUUCUUGUCAUUGUAAGGUGUGUGGCAUGUCUUUUCGUUACAUGUGUUCUUUAGUGAAUCAUGUGAAAAUUCAUACAAUGGAUAAAGAACAUCCUUGUGGUGUGUCUGAAAAAUGCAUUGAGUCCUCGGAAAGUAUGAAAGAUCACCUGCAAAUGCAUCUUACAGCGAAGUUUACUUGUAACAUUUGUAGUAWAUGUUUUGUAAGGAAUUGUAAGCUGACAGUGCACACAAGGACUCAUUCAGCACUGGUUCCCAUCUUAGAGUGCACAUGAGGCCUCAUACAAGGGAGAAAUCAUAUGUCUGCCCUGAUUGUGGCAUAGGCUUGUUUCAGAGUGAACAUCUGAAAGCACACAAGGAUCCACACAGACAUCCUCUGUCAACAGUCAGUCUCUGAAGAGGUUCCCCCUGAGCAGCAGCACUAUGUGCAGUAGUGGAGCCCCAGUCUGGGACAGGAGGACCCAGAGCCUACACAGAUAAAGGAGGAACUCGGAACCAGUCAGUGGGAAGAGCAGCCUCAAGAGCUGGAAGAUGAUACCAAAGACUCCAUGUUCUUUCCUGCCUUUAUGGAACAUGACUGUGAGGAUCCAACUCUGCACUCCAAUCUUUUUCAUGCCCAAAAUUAUGGAAAAGAAGAGUCUCUACCCAUCACCUCAACUGCACAAACAGAAACUGGUGGAGAUUACUACAGAGUAUCAGAACCAACUAGUGAUUCUCAGCCCGUCUCUGCAGAAAAUCCAUACUGUUCUGCAGCUCAAGAGUAAAAACAUGGAUAGGAUGGGAAUUGGAGGACCUCAGGUUAAGCCAGUAAAAUCAAAGAAAACAUGGACAGUAAAAGACAAAGCUCCCGUAUAAACACUGAGGGUAAGAAAUCCACAGUGUUGUCCAAUCUGAAAUCACCCAGGCAAAAUGACCAUGCACUUUGCCAUUGAAGUGUGUAGAAAGGAGUGUAUGGAAAAUCUUUCCACUACAUGGGUUCAUUAAUGAAACGUGCAAACUCAUACGAAGGAGAAAUAACCUAUUUGUGGUGUGUGGAAAAUGUUUUGGGCCACAGAAAGUAUGAAACAUCACAUCGAAACUCACAUUGCAGAUAGGAUGUUUGUCGUAAAUGCUUCACUAGCAAUAGGGAUCUGACUGUGCACAUGAGAAGCCACUGGGCAGGAAGCGUAUCAAUGUUCUGUAAUAAAA